rnacentral:rRNA from 1 species
ACGCUCGACACCUACGGGAGGCAGCAGUGGGGAAUAUUGGGCAAUGGGCGCAAGCCUGACCCAGCAACGCCGCGUGAAGGAAGAAGGCCCUCGGGUUGUAAACUUCUUUUGACAGGGACGAAACAAAUGACGGUACCUGCCGAAUAAGCCACGGCUAACUACGUGCCACAGCCGCGGUAAUCUGAGCGGGCUGGCAAGGC